UAACUUGAUGUCUUCCAACAUAGUUCAGACCUUGGGUACCAUGCUCGACACGGUUGUUUUCUAGAGUAUACUUUUUAUUUUUCUCUGUAUUCUCUCUGGAUUCCUUUUUUGGAUACAAGUAGAACGAUAUUGGAUUUAUAUUUUAAAUUGCAUUUAUUUCUGUUCUUUUUUUUGAUCUCGUACUGAUUAUAUAGGCAUCAUCUAUGUUUAAUUUGGUUCUUCUAAUAUUUUGUUUCCACG
rnacentral:misc_RNA from 1 species